rnacentral:rRNA from 1 species
AGAGUUUGAUCCUGGCUCAGGAUGAACGCUGGCGGCGUGCUUAACACAUGCAAGUCGAACGAAGCACUUUAUUUGAUUUCCUUCGGGACUGAUUAUUUUGUGACUGAGUGGCGGACGGGUGAGUAACGCGUGGGUAACCUGCCUUGUACAGGGGGAUAACAGUUGGAAACGGCUGCUAAUACCGCAUAAGCGCACGGCAUCGCAUGAUGCAGUGUGAAAAACUCCGGUGGUAUAAGAUGGACCCGCGUUGGAUUAGCUAGUUGGUGAGGUAACGGCCCACCAAGGCGACGAUCCAUAGCCGACCUGAGAGGGUGACCGGCCACAUUGGGACUGAGACACGGCCCAAACUCCUACGGGAGGCAGCAGUGGGGAAUAUUGCACAAUGGGCGAAAGCCUGAUGCAGCGACGCCGCGUGAGCGAAGAAGUAUUUCGGUAUGUAAAGCUCUAUCAGCAGGGAAGAUAAUGACGGUACCUGACUAAGAAGCACCGGCUAAAUACGUGCCAGCAGCCGCGGUAAUACGUAUGGUGCAAGCGUUAUCCGGAUUUACUGGGUGUAAAGGGAGCGCAGGCGGUGCGGCAAGUCUGAUGUGAAAGCCCGGGGCUCAACCCCGGUACUGCAUUGGAAACUGUCGUACUAGAGUGUCGUAGGGGUAAGCGGAAUUCCUAGUGUAGCGGUGAAAUGCGUAGAUAUUAGGAGGAACACCAGUGGCGAAGGCGGCUUACUGGACGAUAACUGACGCUGAGGCUCGAAAGCGUGGGGAGCAAACAGGAUUAGAUACCCUGGUAGUCCACGCCGUAAACGAUGACUACUAGGUGU